GACGAACGCUGGCGGUGUGCUUAACACAUGCAAGUCGAACGGUAAGGCCCUUUCGGGGGUACACGAGUGGCGAACGGGUGAGUAACUCGUGAGUAACCUGCCCUCAUCUCUGGGAUAACAGUCGGAAACGGUUGCUAAUACUGGAUAUGAGCUUGCAAGGCAUCUUGUGGGUUGGAAAGAUUUUUUUGGUUGGGGAUGGACUCGCGGCCUAUCAGCUUGUUGGUGAGGUAGUGGCUCACCAAGGCUUCGACGGGUAGCCGGCCUGAGAGGGCGACCGGCCACAUUGGGACUGAGAUACGGCCCAAACUCCUACGGGAGGCAGCAGUGGGGAAUAUUGCACAAUGGACGGAAGUCUGAUGCAGCAACGCCGCGUGCGGGAUGACGGCCUUCGGGUUGUAAACCGCUUUCAAUUGUGACGAAGCUUUUUUGUGACGGUAGCAGUAGAAGAAGCACCGGCUAACUACGUG
rnacentral:rRNA from 1 species